UCUCGGGUUACCGAAUUCAGACAAACUCCGAAUGCCAAUUAAUUUAACUUGGGAGUCAGAACAUGGGUGAUAAGGUCCGUGUUCGAAAGGGAAACAGCCCAGACCACCAGCUAAGGUCCCAAAAUAUAUGUUAAGUGGAAAAGGAUGUGGCGUUGCCCAGACAACUAGGAUGUUGGCUUAGAAGCAGCCAUCAUUUAAAGAGUGCGUAAUAGCUCACUAGUCGAGUGACACUGCGCCGAAAAUGUACCGGGGCUAAACAUAUUACCGAAGCUGUGGAUUGUCCUUUGGACAAUGGUAGGAGAGCGUUCUAAGGGCGUUGAAGCAUGAUCGUAAGGACAUGUGGAGCGCUUAGAAGUGAGAAUGCCGGUGUGAGUAGCGAAAGACGGGUGAGAAUCCCGUCCACCGAUUGACUAAGGUUUCCAGAGGAAGGCUCGUCCGCUCUGGGUUAGUCGGGUCCUAAGCUGAGGCCGACAGGCGUAGGCGAUGGAUAACAGGUUGAUAUUCCUGUACCACCUAUAAUCGUUUUAAUCGAUGGGGGGACGCAGUAGGAUAGGCGAAGCGUGCGAUUGGAUUGCACGUCUAAGCAGUAAGGCUGAGUAUUAGGCAAAUCCGGUACUCGUUAAGGCUGAGC
rnacentral:rRNA from 1 species